CCUACGGUGGGCAGCAGUGAGGAAUAUUGGUCAAUGGGCUUACGCCUGAACCAGCCAAGUCGCGUGAGGGAAGACUGCCCUAUGGGUUGUAAACCUCUUUUGUCAGGGAGCAACGCCGGCUACGUGUAGCCGGACUGAGAGUACCUGAAGAAAAAGCAUCGGCUAACUCCGUGCGAGCAGCCGCGGUAAUACGGAGGAUGCGAGCGUUAUCCGGAUUGAUUGGGUUUAAAGGGUGCGUGGGCGGAAUGCCAAGUCAGCGGUAAAAUCGCGGGGCUCAACCGCGCUCCGACGGUGAGACUGGAGUUCGUGAGUGGGCGAGAGGUAUGCGGAAUGCGUGGUGUAGCGGUGAAAUGCAUAGAUAUCACGCAGAACUCCGAUUGCGAAGGCAGCAUACCGGCGCCCAACUGACGCUGAAGCACGAAAGCGUGGGUAUCGAACAGGAUUAGAUACCCCAGUAGUC
rnacentral:rRNA from 1 species